rnacentral:rRNA from 1 species
UCAAGCUACUAAGGGCGUACGGUGGAUGCCUAGGCGCUAAGAGUCGAAGAAGGGCGCGGUUAACGGCGAAACGCCACGGGGAGCAGUAAGCAUGCCUUGAUCCGUGGAUACCCGAAUGGGGCAACCCAGCCAGAGUCAUAUCUGGCUAUCUGUGACUGAAUACAUAGGUUACAGAAGACAACCCGGAGAACUGAAACAUCUAAGUACCCGGAGGAAGAGAAAGAAUAAUCGAUUCCCUGAGUAGCGGCGAGCGAAACGGGAAGAGCCCAAACCAAACUCUUCGGAGUUUGGGGUUGUAGGACCCUCUAUUAAGAAUGAAUUACUAGCGGAACAGAUCUGGAAAGGUCGAGCAAAGAAGGUAACACUCCUGUAGGCGAAAGUAAGACAUUCUGUGAGGGUAUCCUGAGUACCGCGGGACACGUGAAACCCCGUGGGAAUCCGGGAGGACCACCUCCCAAGGCUAAAUACUCCUUAGCGACCGAUAGCGAACCAGUACCGUGAGGGAAAGGUGAAAAGCACCCCGGGAGGGGAGUGAAAGAGAACCUGAAACCGUGCGCUUACAAGCAGUCAAAGCACAUAACGUGUGAUGGCGUGCCUUUUGUAGAAUGAACCGGCGAGUUACGGUAUGUAGCGAGGUUAAAGUGAGAAACUGGAGCCGAAGCGAAAGCGAGUCUGAAUAGGGCGAAUAGUUACAUGCUGUAGACCCGAAACCGUGUGAUCUACCCAUGGCCAGGGUGAAGGUGGGGUAAAACCCACUGGAGGCCCGAACUCACUGUCGUUGAAAAGGCAGGGGAUGAGCUGUGGGUAGGGGAGAAAUUCCAAUCGAACACGGAGAUAGCUGGUUCUCCCCGAAAUAGCUUUAGGGCUAGCCUCAUUAUGAGAUUAUUGGCGGUAAAGCACUGAAUAGGCUAGGGGCCUAACCGGGUUACCGAACCUUAUCAAACUCUGAAUGCCAAUAAUUAUGAAUGGGAGUCAGACUGUGGGGGAUAAGCUUCAUAGUCGAAAGGGAAACAGCCCAGACCAUCAGCUAAGGUCCCAAAGUAUACGCUAAGUGGAAAAGGAUGUGGAAUUGCUCAGACAACCAGGAUGUUGGCUCAGAAGCAGCCACCAUUUAAAGAGUGCGUAAUAGCUCACUGGUCGAGUGGUUCUGCGCCGAAAAUGUAACGGGGCUCAAGCGUAUCACCGAAGCUAUGGCUUGUAAGUUUAACUUACAGGGGUAGGGGAGCAUUCUAAAUGCUGAGAAGUUCAACUGUAAGGUUGGGUGGAGCGUUUAGAAGAGAGAAUGCCGGUAUGAGUAAGCGAAAAGGUGAGUGAGAAUCUCACCCGCCGAAAACCUAAGGAUUCCUGGGGAAGGCUCGUCCGCCCAGGGUAAGUCGGGACCUAAGCCGAGGCGUAAAGCGUAGGUGAUGGACAACUGGUUGAAAUUCCAGUACCACUCAAGAGCGUUUGAGCGAAGGGGUGACACAGAAGGAUAGGUUAAGCGUGCCGUUGGUUGAGCACGCCCAAGUCUGUAGGGAGUGAGGUAGGCAAAUCCGCCUCACAUAAUCCUGAAAGGUGAUGGGGAGCGAAAAUAAGUAGCGAAGUAACUUGGUCCAUGCUGUCAAGAAAAGCCUCUAGUGAGCAAAUGAGUGCCCGUACCGCAAACCGACACAGGUAGGUAAGGAGAGAAUCCUAAGGCGCGCGAGAAAACCCUCGUUAAGGAACUCGGCAAAAUGACCCCGUAACUUAGGGAGAAGGGGUGCUCAAGGCAACUUGAGCCGCAGAGAAGAGGUCCAGGCGACUGUUUAUCAAAAACACAGGUUCCUGCAAAUCCGAAAGGAGAAGUAUAGGAGCUGACGCCUGCCCGGUGCUGGAAGGUUAAGAGGAGAGGUUAGCCCUUAUGGGCGAAGCUUUGAAUUGAAGCCCCAGUAAACGGCGGCCGUAACUAUAACGGUCCUAAGGUAGCGAAAUUCCUUGUCAGGUAAGUUCUGACCCGCACGAAAGGCGUAACGAUCUGGACACUGUCUCAACGAGGGACUCGGCGAAAUUGUAAUACCCGUGAAGAUGCGGGUUACCUGCGACAGGACAGAAAGACCCCAUGGAGCUUUACUGUAGCUUGACAUUGGAUUUUGGUAUGAAAUGUACAGGAUAGGUGGGAGACUAAGAAGCUAGGGCGCCAGCCUUGGUGGAGUCACCGGUGGGAUACCACUCUUUUUGUACUGAAGUUCUAACCUAGGCCCCUGAUCGGGGUUGGGGACAUUGUCAGGUGGGCAGUUUGACUGGGGCGGUCGCCUCCUAAAGAGUAACGGAGGCGCCCAAAGGUUCCCUCAGCGCGGAUGGAAAUCGCGCGAAGAGUGUAAAGGCAGAAGGGAGCUUGACUGCGAGACAAACAAGUCGAGCAGGGACGAAAGUCGGGCUUAGUGAUCCGGUGGUACCGAGUGGAAGGGCCAUCGCUCAACGGAUAAAAGCUACCCUGGGGAUAACAGGCUUAUCUCCCCCAAGAGUCCAUAUCGACGGGGAGGUUUGGCACCUCGAUGUCGGCUCAUCGCAUCCUGGGGCUGUAGUAGGUCCCAAGGGUUGGGCUGUUCGCCCAUUAAAGCGGUACGUGAGCUGGGUUCAGAACGUCGUGAGACAGUUCGGUCCCUAUCCGUCGCAGGCGCAGGAAAUUUGAGAGGAUCUGUCCCUAGUACGAGAGGACCGGGAUGGACGGAUCACUGGUGUACCAGUUGUCUCGCCAGAGGCACAGCUGGGUAGCUAUAUCCGGAAGAGAUAAGUGCUGAAAGCAUCUAAGCACGAAGCCGACCUCAAGAUGAGAUUUCCCAUAGCGUAAGCUAGUAAGACCCCUGGAUGAUGACCAGGUAGAUAGGCCCGAAGUGGAAGCGCGGUGACGUGUGGAGCAGACGGGUACUAAUCGGUCGAGGGCUUGACCUA